GAUGAACGCUGGAGGCGUGCCUAAUACAUGCAAGUCGAGCGAAGAGGGGACGGGUGAGUAACACGUGGAUAACCUCCUAUAAGACUGGGAUAAAUUCGGGAAACCGGAGGUAAACCGGAUCCUUAUAGAAGGAACCGCGCUGCAUUAGCUAGUGGGUAAGGUAACGGUUGACAAAGGCAACGAUGCAUAGCCGACCUGAGCGGGUGAUCGGCCCCACUGGAACUGAGACACGGUCCAGACUCCUACGUGAGGCAGCAGUAGGGAAUCUUCCGCAAUGGGCGAAAGCCUGAUGGAGCAACGCCGCUUGAGUGAUGAAGGUCGUCGGAUCGUAAAACUCUGUUAUUAGGGAAGCGGUACCUAAUCAGAAAGCCACGGCUAACUACGUGCCAGCAGCCGCGGUAAUAC
rnacentral:rRNA from 1 species